rnacentral:rRNA from 1 species
UCAAUAAGCGGAGGAAAAGAAACUAACGAGGAUUCCCUUAGUAACUGCGAGUGAAGCGGGAAGAGCUCAAAUUUGUAAUCUGGCGGUCCCCAGGCGUCCGAGUUGUAAUCUGGAGAAGCGUCUUCGGCGCCGGUCCCGUGCACAAGUCCCUUGGAACAGGGCGUCGUAGAGGGUGAGAAUCCCGUCCACGGCACGGCGGAUCGGGGCCAUGCGAUGCGCUCUCGAAGAGUCGAGUUGUUUGGGAAUGCAGCUCAAAACGGGUGGUAAAUUCCAUCUAAAGCUAAAUAUUGGCGAAAGACCGAUAGCGAACAAGUACCGUGAGGGAAAGAUGAAAAGCACUUUGGAAAGAGAGUCAAACAGUACGUGAAAUUGUUGAAAGGGAAACGCUUGAAGUCAGUCGCGUCUGCCGGGACUCAGCCGGGUUCGAAAGAACUCGGUGCAUUUCCUGCCAUCGACGGGCCAGUGUCGAUUUCGACCGUCGGAGAAAGGCCGGAGGAAUGUGGCACCUCCGGGUGUGUUAUAGCCUCGGGUCGCAUAUGUCGGUCGGGAUCGAGGAACGCAGCGCGCGUCUACCUCUACGGGGAUGCCGGGUUCGCC